rnacentral:rRNA from 1 species
UACAGGGGGUGCAAACGUUGCUCGGAAUCAUUGGGCGUAAAGCGCACGUAGGCGGUUCGUUAUGUCGGAUGUGAAAGCCCUUGGCCUAACCGAGGAAGUGCAUCCGAAACUGGCGAGCUAGAGUACGAAAGAGGAUCGCGGAAUUCCCGGUGUAGAGGUGAAAUUCGUAGAUAUCGGGAGGAACACCGGUGGCGAAGGCGGCGAUCUGGGUCGAUACUGACGCUGAGGAGCGAAAGCGUGGGGAGCGAACAGG